UAAAUUUUAUAGUCAAUAACAUUUGACUUUCAGUGCCUAAAAUUUUAAUGGCUUCAUGUAGAAAAAAUUAGCACACUUCCAGUGUAGUGUGGUUAUUGCUAAAAGAGUUUGUUUAAGGAAAUAGAAUUGUAUGCAUUUUAAAGUAAUGAUUUCUAGAAGUCAUUUCAAGAAUAAAAUAUUUUUCUUUAUAAUAGUAGUAGCAUUGUCCAAGUGUACAAGGAUUACUAUUAAAAAAAAACCUAGAAAGGUUGAUAACUAUUACCCUCACUUUAUAGCUGAAGAAACCGAAGGUUAGCCAUGUGAAAUAGGUUAUUUAGUGUUACACAGCUGGUAAGUUGUGAUGUCUGGUUUUGAAACCAGCUCUGAAACUGAAGCUCACCGUUUUAACUAUUACACUUAGCCAUUGCAUGAUAAAAACUGACUAGUUCCCACUUUACCAUUUUGAAAUGCUACCACCUUUUGAUUUCUCACUGGAGACCUUAUAUGUGAAGAUUUUAUGUAUACUUUAAAAUGCAGAAAAUGUUGAAAGCAACAUAAAACGUUGUCUUACCUUUGAAUAGUACCUGGUGUUGCUUCACUGGUCAUUGCGGUCCUUUCAGAUCAGGUAGUUCUAACAAAAAAGCAGGGUGGGAUUUCGAAAAGGGAGGAGUGACCUAAAGAGGAUGUACAUUUUCGUCAGUCAGCCUGGAAUUUAUGCUUACAGUGUAUAAGGUACUGUGCUUGGGAGGUCAGUUUUAUGAAACAUCGUCUAUGUCCUACAGUAGUUUUACGAUGUAGUUGAGACACAGCCAAUUCAUGAAAUACUUUGAGAAAGAUUAACUACAAAACAGCAAUAGUAAUUUUUAAAAGAUUAGUUAAAAAACUCUUAACUAAACAGUGGAGACUUAACUAGCAGGCCUUUAGGUAAAGGAAGAAUGGUGGGGAAGCAUUUAGAUGAAAAGAAGAGGGAGCAAAGGUAGAUUCUACAAUGACAGGAUCACUCCUAGAACCUUCAGUUUGCACUGAGUGGAACAGAAGUCUUUUGUUGGGGUAGAAGAGUAAACGUAAUGCCAAGGAGUUAAAGGUUUGAUUCAUUAUGGAUUGUAGGUUCUUGGGCCAAUGGGGAUGAUACGUAAAUAUUUUUAAAGGGAGAUUAGCUAGCAGUGUGCAGGAUGAGUUGAAAGGAUGAGAAGUUGUACUCGGUGAAAUCUGUCAUAAACUUUUGGCAAUAAAGCAGGCAUACAGUCAUUGAGGGGAUGCGUUGAUUGUAGUGUCAUUUGGACUAGAGAAGAUGGGCUGGCAGUGAAAGACUUUAAAGGACAUAAAAUGGAUAUCUAAAUAGAUUGACUAAGAGGGAAAUAAAGAAAAUACUAACUUUAAGUUAUCCAGCUUAGAAGACUAAUGAUAAUAUUACUGGUUAAAAGGUAAUUUUUAAGGAGUUCUUGUUUUUGUUAUUUUCUUUGAGAGACUCUAUUGUUAAGGUUUCUGUGUGGUCCCUGAACUUUUGCUUGAUUGGGUUCACAGAGGUGUGACCUGGGGUCCCAGAGACUGGGGGCAGUGCUGCUCUAGGAGGCUUUGCAUUGGAGUUCUUGUUUGAAGAAGGAAACUAGUUUGGACAUUUGGAGUUCAUGAUACAGCAUAUGAUGGUGCUGAAGGUCUGUAUGGAACCAGAGAUGAAAACAAAGGUGUAAGAAAUUAGCAUUUGUGGUGUAGGUGUGUUGGUGAAUUCACCAAGAAAUUGUGUAGAAAUAAAAGCAUAAAACUGGCAGUAGCAGCUGUCACAUGGUCAACAUGUAGGAAUGAUGGAAUAAAUGACAAAAUUUGGGUUGCACACAUGGACAAGGGAACCUAGUGGUGGUAAAAGGAUGAACAAAGACCAAGAAAGAGCAGUUCAGAUAAUAGGAGCUCUGAUAAAACCUUUUUAAUUUGAUGCUUUUCUCAUGUUCAGAGACUUGCAGAGGUUCCACACUAGAGAGAACCUGUGCGAGAGUUAGGCAGUGAUGUACAUCUCUAGGUGAGAAUAAGUGUUAUAAAUGCAGUCAUCAUGGAUCAAGGACUUCUAAAAACUUUAUAUGAUUCAUAAUAUAGGA